AAAACCCGGUCAAGGUCAGUAAACAUGGUGGACAAAUAUUCAACUUGCGUUGUUGACAUACACGAAAAAUAACCGAUAUAUGGACUAUACCUGAUAUUUUUGGAUUUAUUUAUGCCAUAGACAUCAACAAUGUUUAAGUUCAGGUAUUUCAAAUAGCCUCCUUUGAACUUGAUGAUGGUGGCAAAGUACACAAUUAUUUAAACCCACCAGAAAAAACAGUGGAAGAAACCCUCCAAACCCCUGUGAAAACUCACAUUUCUGUGAAAGGAAUCUUACGAAAGAGUUCGGAUCUCAUUGAGUCGCCAAACAGCAGAAGAAAAGAACUAAUACUGGAAUCUAUGGAAGGAACGUCGAAAAUUGUAUGCAAACUGUGGGGCAAUUGUGCUCUGUUUGAUGUUCCUCCUCAAGACUCGAUAAUAACACUCACAGGCAUGGAUGUCACUUCAUGGAGAGGAGAAAUCUCCUUGAAUUCUUCAGUACUUACAGAGUUGAAGGAAACAGAUGAAGAUGGGACAUUUGAGGGAGAAAUUGAGGCAGUUAACUUUUCUGAUAUCCAUACAUGCCGGUCAAACUUGGCAUAAAGAAUCCUUUGAUGAGUGCUCUUACGUCUUUUUCAAUGUACAACCGAACACAUCAACAAAACAAAACUACAGUUACGUUAUUGUGAACAGCAGAACAUUCAAAAUGCCCACAAAAACGGCCAUUCAAAUAUUUGGAGGAAAGAAGUUUAAGGACAGCAUAACAAUUAAAGGGAUGUCAAAAGGGACUACAAUCACUCAUGUGGAAGUGUGCAAUCCAGCAAAGAAACAAAAAAAAGAUUGAAAAUUGUGAAGAUUUCAGAGAGUACCGGUAAACGCAUUCAACUUUUGCUAAUAAAUGCAAAACUUUGUGCAUGGAGGAAAUAUGUAAAGACUAUAUAAAUACAUAUUAUGCAUAAAGUUGAAGAAAGUGCGUCUUGCAUGCAAGUACAUGUAUAUUUGAGGCGGUAUUGAAUUUUUGCAGUGAUCAUAUAUUGAAAUUGCAUUGUAACAGAAAAAAUGCACACUUGUUUAUUAAAGCUGCUGCACAAUUUAAAAACGUAAUAUGGCAUAUGUGGGUAACUUAAUAACUUUGUUCUAUAUAGUCAUCUACCUUUAAAUCUUGUGUUUAAUUUUUAGUAACCAGUGCUCAUAAUUAUCAACUUGCCCUGUAAUAGCAAUAUUACACACUUGUGUACUAAAGCUUAAUAGUUUAUGCACAUUUUUCAAAUUUAAAAUAAUAAAUGUGUGGAUACCUUUUCCUCCCUAAAAAUCUUGUUUAUUUUUUGACAGCAAGUAUUCAUAUAUUUUGAAAGUGCUCUGCAACAGGAAUAAUACACACUUGUAUAUUAAAGCUUCUGCACAAUUUUGUAACGUGAUAUAACAUGUAUUAAAUUCAGUCUAACUUUUUAUUUCUGCAUUUAUGUAAAGUAUACUUUAGGUUCUGCAUGUGUAAAGGUAUUUCUCUAUUUUUGAACUAAAACUAUUCAUGGAUUUAGAAUGAUUUUUCACUUAGAUUAAACAAAUGUAUCUUU
rnacentral:misc_RNA from 1 species